GGGCUCACUUCAGCAGUACAUAUACUAAAAUUGGAAUGAUACAGAUAAGGUUAGCAUGGCCCCAGCACAGGAUGACAGGCAAAAACUAUACAAUUGGAAUUUGCUA